UCAGCAAGUGCCUUGUUCACGAGCAUCUCUGAUCUCAGGUAUUGGGAGGAAAGGCAGAGUCAGAGAAGAGAGUUCUUUAUCAGCUUCAGGAGACUUCGGCUGUUGUGUCCCAAUGGAAGGAACCUUCCUUUGUCACAGGUGUAGAAAACAGAGUCGCCUUCUCAUCCCUGGUACAUCUGGUUCUUCUACAAGCACGAGGCUAUCCCAUGGGACUUGCAUCUUUCCUGCCUCCCAGCCUGAGCAGCUGCAACCCGCAGGCUCUGCACCAAGCAGAGACCUAGCGACAAGCAUCCAGCACUCAGUGACAACACUGGCUGUUGUCCGAGAUUCUCCAUGCCUGUUAUAGCACAACAGCUGUGAAAUGCAUUACUCGCAGAUGUCUAUAAUUAGGGACCAGCACUGCCUUCCGAUGGCAUCUGAACCAAAAAGGCCAGUGAACAUUGAAACACUUGCUUUGGGCAAUAAAUAAAACAUUCAUGCGCUAUA